UCUGGUUGAUCCUGCCAGUAAUAUAUGCUUGUAUCAAAGAUUAAGCCAUGCAUGUCUAAGUAUAAGCAACUAUACAGUGAAACUGCGAAUGGCUCAUUAAAUCAGUUAUCGUUUAUUUGAUAGUACUACUACAUGGAUAACCGUGGUAAUUCUAGAGCUAAUACAUGCACAAACCUCUCCGGAGGUGUAUUUAUUAGAUAAAAACCAACCUUGUCUUGGUGAUUCAUAAUAACUUUUCGAAGCGCACGCCUAGUGCAGGCGCUGGUUCAUUCAAAUUUCUGCCCUAUCAACUUUCGAUGGUACGGUAGUGGCCUACCAUGGUAGCAACGGGUAACGGGGAAUUAGGGUUCGAUUCCGGAGAGGGAGCCUGAGAAACGGCUACCACAUCCAAGGAAGGCAGCAGGCGCGCAAAUUACCCAAUCCUGACACAGGGAGGUAGUGACAAUAAAUAACGAUACAGGGCCUAUGGUCUUGUAAUCGGAAUGAGAACAAUUUAAACCACUUAUCGAGGAACAAUUGGAGGGCAAGUCUGGUGCCAGCAGCCGCGGUAAUUCCAGCUCCAAUAGCGUAUGUUAAAGUUGUUGCAGUUAAAAAGCUCGUAGUUGAACCUCGCCGCCGGCUCCGGGUCCCCCUCACGGGGUGUACUCGUCGCUUGCGGCUUUGCUCUACUAGUGUGUGCGUUCGCGUGCACUCAUAGUGGAGCGUUUACUGUGAGAAAAUUAGAGUGUUCAAAGCAGGCGUUUCGCUCGAAUACGUUAGCAUGGAAUAAUAGAAUAGGACGAAGGUUCUAUUUUGUUGGUUCUAGGACCGUCGUAAUGAUUAAUAGGGAUGGUCGGGGGCAUCAGUAUUCAGUAGUAAGAGGUGAAAUUCUUGGAUUUACUGAAGACUAACUGCUGCGAAAGCGUUUGCCAAGGACAUCUUCAUUAAUCAAGAACGAAAGUUAGGGGAUCGAAGACGCUUAGAUACCGUCGUAGUCUUAACCGUAAACUAUGCCGACUCUGAAUCGGCCCCUUGAAUUUGAUGGGGGGUCGGCGCAGUGUGAGAAAUCAAAGUUUUUAGGUUCUGGG
rnacentral:rRNA from 1 species